ACUUGAAUUGAAGAGUUUGAUCAUGGCUCAGAUUGAACGCUGGCGGCAGGCUUAACACAUGCAAGUCGAACGGUAGCAGGAGAAAGCUUGCUUUCUUGCUGACGAGUGGCGGACGGGUGAGUAAUGCUUGGGAAUCUGGCUUAUGGAGGGGGAUAACGACGGGAAACUGUCGCUAAUACCGCGUAUUAUCGGAAGAUGAAAGUGCGGGACUGAGAGGCCGCAUGCCAUAGGAUGAGCCCAAGUGGGAUUAGGUAGUUGGUGGGGUAAAGGCCUACCAAGCCUGCGAUCUCUAGCUGGUCUGAGAGGAUGACCAGCCACACUGGAACUGAGACACGGUCCAGACUCCUACGGGAGGCAGCAGUGGGGAAUAUUGCGCAAUGGGGGGAACCCUGACGCAGCCAUGCCGCGUGAAUGAAGAAGGCCUUCGGGUUGUAAAGUUCUUUCGGUAUUGAGGAAGGUUGAUGUGUUAAUAGCACAUCAAAUUGACGUUAAAUACAGAAGAAGCACCGGCUAACUCCGUGCCAGCAGCCGCGGUAAUACGGAGGGUGCGAGCGUUAAUCGGAAUAACUGGGCGUAAAGGGCACGCAGGCGGUUAUUUAAGUGAGGUGUGAAAGCCCUGGGC
rnacentral:rRNA from 1 species